UUUAUUUUUUCUCCUCCGCUGAAAUAGGAAUGACUGAAAAGAACAAAAAGAAACACCAGAAACUUUGAGAAAGCUGAAUUUAAGGUGUCACCUUGGUGUCUGAGAGCCAGUUCUGAGCAGCAGGGGGAAGACAGAGUGUGGCACACUUUCUAAAGUCCAGAUUCACAGCUAUGACAGCUCACAGACUGAAGGGGACUGGAAAGCAUGCAAGACAGAGAUAAAAGUAUACAGUCAAUGGAUUACAGGAUCUGGGGCAAUUAAAGAAAAGUUGGAGCUGCGAAACUUCAGGAAGUAAGCUAUAAAGGGAGGAGCUAAGAUUAGAAGGCUAAAUCCUGGUCAUUCAUGCUAUAGAUAGUUAAUUAUAAAUCUACAAUAAAAUGUAGCAGCUAACAUAAAGUGGAGGCUUAAGGUCUGCACUAUGAAAAAGGAGGAAGUAGGGAUAGAACUCCGGAGUGGGAACACAGAGUCAGUCCUCCAGGAGAAGGUCACCCAGCUAGCCGGUGCUAUGGAAGGACGAGGAGCAGAAGUCUGGCUGCAGAGAAUUUGCUCUUAAGCAAUACCUGAGAGUACUGUGCAUCUAGAACAAGUUGAGGCCAUGAAGUUUCUUUAAGAAAACAGUGGGGAAAUGGGGUGAGUGCAAGUAGCCAUGAAUUAAGCCUGGCCAUUCCCAUCCCACUAUCUCCAGUCUUAAAACAGCAACAUCGACAAAUAAACCAGCUUACUACUGACAACGAGAGAUAAUUCAGAUACCGUACAGAAUCUAUAAGGCUUCUGGUUGUUUCAUUUGGACACAAGUUGUACAUUUAUCAAGUAUACCCCACAGUCAUUUACUCCCUGAACUCUUGAGUCUUUUGUUAAUCUAUCUGUGUCUGGUCAGACGGAUCUUGGCCAGGCACAUGGCUUCUGCAUG
rnacentral:lncRNA from 1 species